GACGAACGCUGGCGGCGUGCUUAACACAUGCAAGUCGAACGGAAAGGCCCCCACUUUUUUGGUGGGGGUGCUCGAGUGGCGAACGGGUGAGUAACACGUGGGUGAUCUGCCCUGUACUUCGGGAUAAGCUUGGGAAACUGGGUCUAAUACCGGAUAGGACCAUGGUUUAGUGUCUCAUGGUGGAAAGAUUAUUGUUUUGGUGCAGGAUGAGCUCGCGGCCUAUCAGCUUGUUGGUGAGGUAAUGGCCUACCAAGGCGUCGACGGGUAGCCGGCCUGAGAGGGUGGACGGCCACAUUGGGACUGAGAUACGGCCCAGACUCCUACGGGAGGCAGCAGUGGGGAAUAUUGCACAAUGGGCGCAAGCCUGAUGCAGCGACGCCGCGUGGGGGAUGACGGCCUUCGGGUUGUAAACUCCUUUCGUUAGGGACGAAGCCACACCUGUUUUGGGUGUGGUGACGGUACCUUUGUUAAGAAGCACCGGCUAACUACGUGCCAGCAGCCGCGGUAAUACGUAGGGUGCGAGCGUUGUCCGGAAUUACUGGGCGUAAAGAGCUCGUAGGUGGUUUGUUGCGUCGUCUGUGAAUUCCGGGGCUUAACUUCGGGGUGGCAGGCGAUACGGGCAUAACUAGAGUGCUGUAGGGGAGACUGGAAUUCCUGGUGUAGCGGUGGAAUGCGCAGAUAUCAGGAGGAACACCGAUGGCGAAGGCAGGUCUCUGGGCAGUAACUGACGCUGAGGAGCGAAAGCAUGGGGAGCGAACAGGAUUAGAUACCCUGGUAGUCCAUGCUGUAAACGGUGGGCGUUAGGUGUGGGGACCGGUUUGGUUUCUGUGCCGUAGCUAACGCAUUAAGCGCCCCGCCUGGGGAGUACGGCCGCAAGGCUAAAACUCAAAGGAAUUGACGGGGGCCCGCACAAGCGGCGGAGCAUGUGGAUUAAUUCGAUGCAACGCGAAGAACCUUACCUGGGUUUGACAUGCACCAGACGGUUGUAGAGAUACGUACCUCCCUUUGUGGUUGGUGUGCAGGUGGUGCAUGGUUGUCGUCAGCUCGUGUCGUGAGAUGUUGGGUUAAGUCCCGCAACGAGCGCAACCCUUGUCUUAUGUUGCCAGCACUUUGGGUGGGGACUCAUGAGAGACUGCCGGGGUUAACUCGGAGGAAGGUGGGGAUGACGUCAAAUCAUCAUGCCCUUUAUGCCCAGGGCUUCACACAUGCUACAAUGGUUAGUACAACGCGCUGCGAACCUGUGAGGGUGAGCGAAUCGCUGAAAGCUAAUCUCAGUUCGGAUUGGGGUCUGCAACUCGACCCCAUGAAGUCGGAGUCGCUAGUAAUCGCAGAUCAGCAAUGCUGCGGUGAAUACGUUCCCGGGCCU
rnacentral:rRNA from 1 species